rnacentral:rRNA from 1 species
UGGGGAAUUUUGGACAAUGGGCGAAAGCCUGAUCCAGCAAUGCCGCGUGUGUGAAGAAGGCCUUCGGGUUGUAAAGCACUUUUGUCCGGAAAGAAAUCCUUGGCUCUAAUACAGUCGGGGGAUGACGGUACCGGAAGAAUAAGCACCGGCUAACUACGUGCCAGCAGCCGCGGUAAUACGUAGGGUGCAAGCGUUAAUCGGAAUUACUGGGCGUAAAGCGUGCGCAGGCGGUUUGCUAAGACCGAUGUGAAAUCCCCGGGCUCAACCUGGGAACUGCAUUGGUGACUGGCAGGCUAGAGUAUGGCAGAGGGGGGUUAGAAUUCCACGUGUAGCAGUGAAAUGCGUAGAGAUGUGGAGGAAUACCGAUGGCGAAGGCAGCCCCCUGGGCCAAUACUGACGCUCAUGCACGAAAGCGUGGGGAGCAAACAGGAUUAGAUACCCUGGUAGUCCACGCCCUAAACGAUGUCAACUAGUUGUUGGGGGAUUCAUUUUCCUUAGUAACGUAGCUAACGCGUGAAGUUGACCGCCUGGGGAGUACGGUCGCAAGAUUAAAACUCAAAGGAAUUGACGGGGUCAUAGCUG